UUUUUUUUUUGUCCUGUUCCAAUAGUCAAAAUAUCUUACGUGAGCUAAACGUUUCUAUUUAAGGCAAGAUAAAAUUAGUACUCCAUCUGCUUCUAAUUAGAUGAAAUAUUUUACUUUUUAGUCUGUUUUAAAAUAAAACUCUUUAUUUUACCUAUUUUAUCCUUAAUGAGAAAUUUUUAUAAUUACAUAAAUGUCAUGGCCCCACAAACUCAUAAGUUUUUAAGACCACAAGUAUUAAAAGUCUUUGAUAUCCCAUUUUGAAAUUGGUUUAUUCAGCAGCAGCAAAUGCUAGUUACAAUAUAGGUUCCAGCGAAGCCAAUUUAGUCAUUAGUAAAGCCGAAGUCAACGGAGGUACUACUGUGAAGAAAUUGAAACCUCGAGCUCGAGGACGUAGUUUUCCAAUAAAAAGAUCGACUUGUCAUAUAACUAUUGUAAUGAAAGAUAUAUCUUUAGAUGAUGAAUAUGUAGAGAUGUAUUCGUUAAAAAAAAGGAGAUGGAAAAAAAUUCUACAGCUAUGCCGUAUCGUGAUAUGUAUAAUAGUGGGGAUUAUGGGACAAAAAAUAAAUCCACUUAGUUUCGGACCGGGUACAACCCAAGGUCAGUCAUUCCAUUUGGUUUUCACAACAAAAAAAUUAUUCUUUUUUCUUAAACUCAAUGUCGAGUCAAAUUAUCUCGUAUAAAUUGAUACUGAGUGAGUAUUCUAUCUAUUACUUACAUCAUAGAUAGAAUAUUUAAAUAUUCUUGAUUUAAUAUUUAUGGGGAAACUUUCCACAUUGUAAAUUUUUUGAAGGCAUUUAAAUGAAAUUUAAGAAAAAAGAAAUUACAAAUAGGCUGCAUUUUACACACUUCUUCAAAUUUGCUCCCGCUGCGUUUUCUGAGUUUGUCUACUUCUCAGAUUAUCCCAAUUCCGACGCUCUUUUACUUUUUCUCCGUCACCUCUCCGGCUAGGUGAUGUACUGAUUUAUCACGCUUUUUUGCUCACAGUUCGCUUAAUGGUUUUACCUUUGCUUCUGCAUGUGAUUUUUCCAGUGCUUUUCUAUACAUUGGUUUUGUGUGUGUGCGCGUGUGUGUGUUUAGAAGCUUGUUUGAAAUGACCUUUGGUGCAGUAGUUGCCAUCGGCAUCCCGAUAAAGUAUUUAAGGGCGUAGGAACCCCUUGAUUUUACUCCCUCCGUCUCAUUUCAUGUAACUGGAAAAAAAAACACUUUUGAAACUUGUAGUAUGGCUAUAGAACGUUUGAAACUUUUUGUUAUAUACAUUCAUAACAUGUGUAUAUGGCUAUCAAAGCUUGUCAUUAAGGGUGAAGAAAAAGUUCAGGUUAAAUUGUUUCCAAAUUUCGAAAGGGGUCAUUCUUUUUUAAACAAGUUGAAAAGGAAAUAGGGUCACGUAAACUGGAAUGAAGAGGGUAACUAAAAAGAGAAAUAUAAGAAGAAAUGCUUGUGAUCUGGGAGUACUUUUUCUUUUAAACUAAUGUCUCCCAUAUUCUUGAUUUUUAAAAACUAACAUUAGUCUUUUUGCCUCUAUUGUACAGAUAUUUAUGUUGGCUGUUUGAAAGUGAAUGGAUGAAACAGUGAUUAGUCGUUGUAUGUGGUUAUCCAGCUGAAACAAGAUUGACUGCAUUGUUUAUUUUGGGUUUUUUGUUUCUUGGAAAUUGAAUUUGAUUGGAUGGGGAAAGCUGGAAUGCAGGAUUGGGAUCUAAUGUAUGAUUUAUGUUGUCUAAAUAAAAAGAAGAAGAAGCAUGAUAGGGAAGGUACUGGGCUUGGUGAUCAUAAAGCACUGGAAAGAUGUGUUCUUGUGGAUCAAGAUAAUGCCAAGUUAUCAACAAAGGAGGCUGACGUGGGAGCUGCCUAUAAUCGGGAGAAUUCUAGUUGUAGUGAUGUUGAAGCUGACCCACAAUAUAUGACUUUCUUGGCUAAUGCUAAGCCAGAUGGAACGUCAUAUGUUCUUAAAGCUAGUGAUCAGAAUGGGUUGCCCGUGUUCCUGAAGUAUGAGAAAGGGGACGGAUCUGAUGAUGAGCACGAAUAUGAUGGAGUUGAAAAGGAUCAGAAUAGCGUUAGGGAAAAGUACAAAUUAGGGAGUUCAAAAGCUCUAAACACUUCUGCGAGAAAGAAUAGAAAUACCUCCGUAGUUGAGAAGCAGAAUAUGAAAGAUGAGAUUUUGAGUCAGAAGCAAAGGAGGGAAGAUAGGGAUUUAGUUAACAGAAAGCACAGUACUGAUGUGAAGAUUGUACCUGGUAAGGAGCAGAAGACACAGAAUGGUAGCAAAUUCAUGGACGUGAGAGUAAAGACAGAACCAAAUGAAGAUUCUGAUUGUAAGAUUUAUUUGCUUCUCGCAAGAAAACCUAUUAACGAAGAUUGCUUUCUCAAAUCUUCAUUUGGAAAUAAUUGUUAUUUGGUUUAUGAAGCUCUCAAGGAGGAGAUCCCCCAAAGUGAAGUAGAAAUUGUUCAGAACGUUGAUGCAGAGUUAGGCAUGGGCAGUAGCUCUAACCCCUUUGUAUUUCCAGUGGAACAUUGCGAGAAUGUACUAUUUCAAUGCUUCUGCUACUUUCACUAGUUAUUUUGGUCCCUCUCCUCCUCCCUCUUCUUCCUUUCUUUUAUGUUACCUCUUAGUUUUGUUUCUGCAUGAUAACUCUUGUUACAUUGGCGUCUAAUUUUGUGUAUCAAGCUGGAGGAUCCCAGUCAGCCUAUCAGCAACCCAAAUGCGUCAAUUAUGAAUUCUGGCUACAGGAAGGAGGUUCUGAAUUUAUUGAUGAGACCCUAUGAUGAUGAGGAGUAUAAGAAGCUUUGGAAAGAUAUUAAGAUGCCAUGUAGCUCAAUAAAUAGACGUGGAACAUCCCUUCUAUCACUCCAUAAAGGUAGGUUAACAACCUUAAGUUUGUUUCCAGCACUGCAGCAUCCCUUUGCAUUUUGAAUGCUUCUCUGCGUGUUUGAAUUUUUCUCAGGCCAUGCCUUGGUUUCAAACUUUAUGUAGUCACCUUUAAGAUAGUAUCCAAUUCAAUAGAAUUCCUGCUUUCUCACUUUAGAGAAUUUAAGAAUAGUUCCUUGUCGUCUUCUUUCGCCUCAAAAUGGACUGAACUUGCUAGCAAAUGUUUACCCAUCUGAUUGAGAAAAAGUUACUUCUUCUUUGUUAUUAGUCAUCUCAGGGUGCUCUGAACCUCCCAAAAAGGGGGGGAAAUGAAGAAAAAGUUCAGAACCCAAACAAUCAAAUAAAAGUGGGCGGAGUAUAUGGUAAAUGAUAGAAGCAAUGUCGUCUCUAGUCUAGGCAGUUAAAGGGAGAAAAAAAUGAUGGAACAACUGCAAACAAUGCAACUGUUUUAGAACUUUUAGAACAAGUGGAAACGUCUCAUCUUGCUUUUCUUUUAAAUUAUCUUGAGCUUUUUGUAUGCAAAAGUAACUCAAGUUCUGAACCUUUUGCUUAAAGAUAGGCAUAGGCCGCUUUUAAUGUUAUCUUCGUUCUCUUUCCGUUUUCAUGUAGCUUGUAGAAGAAUAUGUUCUCCUUUUGUUUUCUCUACACUUUGAUACUUCGUCUCAUGUUUAUCAUUUGACUUCCACUAGGUGUGGAAGAGCAGAGUUGUUUUCAUAGUGGUUCCAGAAGAAAAAGAACAAGAAAGAUCAAUGUUACCCUUUUAAAUUGAUUCAAAAUUUCAUAUAAACGAGGCAUGACUAAUGUAACUUUUAAUACAGUAUUAUAUUUACACCUAGAGAAACGCCAAUGGAAACAAUAGUCAUGUAAGGCAAGUGACCUUAAAAGUCAUGUAAAACAGUGGACGAGUUGCGAUUCCUAGGAAAGGAACUAGGAAAACAUUUCUAGGAAGGAAUAACUGUUUUCGGCGUCUGAAAACCCACACUGCAGACAGAACUUGCCAAAUAUUCUUGAGGUCAUCGAUAAUCAAAAUAGUAUCUCAUUCUAACUUAUUUGUUCUCCUUUCGUUUUUGAGAUGAAAGUGUUCACUGUCAAAAGUCAAAACAAAUUAACUCUAAGUCUCUAAUAUUUCACAUGGUUCCCUCAUCUCAACAUGCAUGCCUUAUAUGAGCUUGUUUUAGAGAAUCACUCUAACGGGUAAAUUGAUGAAGAAACAUCUUUUCUCUAGUUUUCUUCAGCUGAAUGAAUCAAGGCGAAGGAGAACAAAUAAAAUGGAUAAGUAUACUAAUUAGCAGGUGUUUGCCUGCCUUUUGUUGAGGGGUGUGCAGAUGUUAACUGUAUGCAUCUGAUUUACAAUAAGUGAGACUUGUCUGCUAAUUAAAAUGUACAUAAUAAUAUUUUUAACUUAACAAUAAAAAUUCAUUAACUAUGCUUGUCAGUGAUCUGGAACAAAAUCUGCUUUGAGCCUUUGACUGGAGUCCUCGGUUGAGGAGUCACCUAACUUAUAGUACUAGAGCUUAAUGUAAUAUGCAUACUCCACUUAAUCGUUAGACUUAUGAAGCUGUUCUAAUAUUUUACACAUAUAAGGCUGCUUAUGCAUGAAAGUUAAUGCCUAUCCUGUUUUGGCGACUUCACCCUCCUUAGCUGCUUCCCCUUGCUUGGUUUGGUAUUUAACAUUUUCAUGUGCUUUCCUUUUAGCAACUCUUGCCAAGCCUCCAGAGUUGAUGAGAUAUCCCUUCAAGACAAUUUUGAAACUCCUUAAAGUUCUACUUUGUAGUAAUCUCUCAAUGGUUUCUAUCACCUUACUUAUUACCUGUUACGUCCACAUAAUGGGUACAUUUGGUAUUACUAAAUUGACAUCAUAUAACCUAGCUAUGUACUUCUUGCUGUAGGGGGAUUUCAUGGUAGAGAUAGAAAAGAAAUCAUAACUUAGAUUGAGUGUUAGGAUCUUAUAUUAUUUUUAAGCUUUUGUCCGCUUCUUUUACUUGUUUAGGCUAGGGUUUAAGUUUAUAGCCUGUUCAGCUUAAAGUAGGAGCAUUUUGGGUAUUUUAGAUAUAUUUGCUGUUAAUGGCCACAAUUAGGUUUUCUGGUUUGCUUUUUGGAGUUAUUGUAUGUUUUAGAAGAGAAAAAACUGCAAUUUGCAGAUUCUAUUUAUUUCUCUUGGCUUCUUGAUUUAAUUGAAAUGAAAAUUGAAAAAGGAAAUCUAGAUACAAAAGUUGUACAUACCAUAUGAAGAAUAGUAGACAAAGUGACAUUCUUUACAAAGAGCAAACAAUGAAAUAUCCUAACAAUCUAUCAUACCAGGAAUCUCAUACGUGCUCCAAAGCAUGUACAAAAAAGGAAAAGGUCUCCCGAAGUUGUGUACGGAAACUGGUUGUUUCUUACGUAUAUGCUUUCGCUGUUCCUAUUAAAAAAACAUAUAUUCCUUCACCGUGAUCGAUACGAAAGCAUGUUUUGGAAUCCUAAAGUUGGUUGCUACUCCAUGACCGGAAAAGUCACUUUACAGAAAAACAGAUAUUUUGAACUUUAAUGGAUAUAGCCUGCGAGUGGCAGCCCUAGAGCAAGAAGUGAAGAACUUGCGAAGAAAGCAAACGUAGCAUGGGAUAAGGAUGAGGAUUCAAAGGCACUAUAGUUGCACAAGUUUUUCACUCUGCAAGGUUUUUUAUUUCUUUCCACCGAUCCGAGAAGUUUUUUCUUUUCUUAUCACUGUGCAGGUUCAAAUACCAAAAUUAGCAUACAUUUACAGGAAAAGGAGAGACUUGAACUUUAGUGGAUCUAGUCCAGCAGGUGGAAGCUUUAGUGUACAAAGUGCAGAAACCUAUGAAGGAAUCAAAUGUACUAUGGAAUAAUAUGUCAAGGACAACAAUUUAGCUAAGUUGCUCCGACAUGGCAGUUUAGGUGCCGCACCUGUGUUGACACGACACUAGUAUGGGUGUGGGUAUGGGAUCCGUACCGGAUAUGAUCAAACAAUUUGGCUACUUUGACCACGACGGACGGAAAAAUUUGAGACAAGAUACAAUUUGAUUCCCGAAAUCAGAACGAAAACUACGGUAAAUUUGAAGAAAAUAGCAUACCUUAUCUAGGAAUUUUUUUUUUCUUCAGGAAAUCAAUCUUUUACUUAUCUUCAACUUGAGAAUAAAAUUUACAAGCUAUACAAGUAUUCCACAAAAUUUCUCAUAUUAUAGAGAAUUUUUAUGUUUUUUGAAUUAUUUUGGACUUCUCGAGGAAGAGGAGGAGAAAGAGACAUGGGAAAUAGCUCAUUUGACGCUGAUGUGGACCAUGUAGAAAAACAAAAAGGCAUUUAAGGGAGUUGAAAACUCUUUCCAACAAAGUGCAACACUUUCUUAUCUUCUGAACACUUUGGAGAGCAUUUGAUAUUUUAGUAAGUAUUGAUGACAGGAUGCUAUUUGAUUUUAUGUAAGAUUUUCUACUAUUUUGUAAAGUAAACAAGUAUUAUGUGGGAAUUUAUCUUACUAUGUUAACAAAUUAUAUCCUCAUUAAAAAGAAGUUGGGAAGUCUACUUGUAAAGGGAAGAAAAAGGGAUACAGAAACUUGUUUGGAAAUCCUAAUGAUCAAGGAAAACAAUCAUAAAUCAAGUAAGGAUGCAGUGGGAUUGCACAACAGAGAUGGGUAAUUAGGGAUUGCUUGUACGUAAUUCAGGUUGGUUUUAUAUAACUUUAGAUUAGUUUAAGCUUUUGUAAGCUGUUUUGUUUUGUUUAGCAUUUGUGUUAUGUUACAAGCCUUUUCAAUUUAAAUUGGGGUAUUUUGGGAAGUAUAUUAGUCUUUAAAACACGAGAUUAGGGUUCCCAAUUAGAUUUCGGCAGUUUUGUUUUAGAAGAGAAGAAAGUAAAGUUUGUUUGCUUGUUUAGUUGAAUUUCUCUCUAGUUUCUAGUUUCUACUUCCAUAUUGGCUAUUGAUAUUGCUAGUUCUGAUAUUUGCUGCGCCAGUUCGUAUCCCAAGUCAGUCCUGUGAUUUUCAUAUCAACAAUGAAUUUCCAAUAUAUUUUCAUUGUAAAAAUGCAGGUGUCAAUCGGGAAAUCAAAAGGACCAAUCAUGACAAAGAUAAAAAGUUGAACAUUAUGCGUGGGUUUAUCUUUUGGUUAGAGGUGAGGGCUACCUCUUCUUGGAUGUCCUUGGUAAAGAACAGUAACAAUUUUUCUUUUUCUCUCUCCCCUUUCAUCUGUCUUUUGUAUUUUGCUUCAUUUUAUUGUUGCAAGCUUGCAGGUAAACUGAUCUAUUUAAGAAACUAGACGUUUAAUUUUCUCUUAGCAUGGGAAGUGUCUAUUAGCGUGGAAAUACAGCAAAUUUCAUAUACAACAACUAUUACUAUGUGGCACUCCUAGUACUACGUGUUAGCUAUAUGAAUUCUCACAAUAAUUGAUUGGGAUAUUAAACUCAUAUAUAUAUGUUUCCAAUAAGUAGGUAAAAUAUGUUAAUGAGCCAAAAGAAUUAUGAAGCUAAGGAACUGUAAGAUGGAAAAGAAUGUACUCGCAAUCGGUCUUGAUGAUAGAAUAAUCUGCAAAGAUAUCCUUUUCAAAGCAAAUUUUGUGGUGUAAGCGAAAACAAGGACCUUCCUCAUCAGAGGGAGUGUUACCAAAAGCGAUCAUGUGCUUAAAAUCUUAGAUAUACCAACAAUUUUCUUUACUUUUGACAAAAGAAAUUGGUAAUCCUCAAAGAGUUGAGGGAACUUUGUCUUAUCUAGAAUGCAACUUAUUGCAGCUUCCUACUUGUUUAUGAUGUUAUAGAUUGGGUAUUGCAGGUCUUUAAUAUGACCAGAAUUAGUAAAUAUAACAAGAAUCUAUACCUUGUAAAUGUGGAAAAUUUCCAAAUCCAAAUAAUUGUGUAAUUAGGAGAUUUAUAGGCUCUAAUCACAUGUUUUCCUUUUUUAGAUUACUUGUAAAACAUUAGCUCGUCUAGAUUAUGAUAGCUCUUGAGUUAUUGGUGAACCCUUACUUUCUCAUGAGAUGUACAGAAGAAACGAGAGCUGUCUACGUAGUCCUGAGCAGAAGUCCAUGCCCAGGACCAAAGUGCCCUAUAAGUUGCAGAUAAGGAUCAUUCAUUGCUCAAUGUUGCAUCAUGAAUAAAAACAAAUACAUUUAAGUUAUAUCCACUGAGAGUGUAAAGAAGUCUUGCACCGUCAGUGGUAAUUAACCUAUUAUAGUAGGUUACAUACCAUUUAUUUUUUAUCACGAAUCAAUGCUUCUUAAAUAGAGUUACCUUUUAAAUGACCUGAGUUUGUAAAUAUCUUUUUUAUGUGUUUAGUACAUAGACCUUAUUGCAUGAAAAAGGAGGUAAGGUAAUGAUGGAAAAAGAAAGAUUAGCUUCUAGGACCAAGAUAGUAUAGUAGUUAAUGACCAGCAUCCAGAAAGGAGAGGGACCUUACAAAUCCAUGAUUUCCCUACCAAAGAUUGACUUCAAUGAAUGCUCCCUUUCUUUCAGUGUGUAAGGUGUUCCUUGCAGUUACCAUACAUGUGGAUCUCCUCUCACCCAGUCCUUAAUGGAAAACACGGUAUAUAGUACCCUUUUUCCCACCAAACCACUUGCCUCUCGAAUCAAUGGUUGUUGUUGUCCUAUCAGCCAUUUUGCCUCUAAAUUAUGAAGUGCUGCAUUUUGACCUCAAAAAACCAUGAAAAACUACUCGACUUGCUCAAAUUUACUUUUUGGACUCCAAAUUUUCAAGGAUGACUGAUCUAAUCUCUAUGUCCAUGUAUCAUUGCCAAAGUUCUGAUGUCUAUAUGAGGUUUGAGCCAAUAGGAGUUUUGAUAGUUACAAAUAUGGACCAAUAGAACGAGAACACGGACCAAGGGAGUAUCGUGGCCCCAUCUCAAAUAAUAGCAUGAAAUUAUCACACUCAUUAUUAUCUUUUACAUUUUUACUCAUUCUGCAAGAAGCUACUGACUUACACUAAAAGUACAUUUUGUUUCAAUUAUCUCCAGCAUCUAACUCGGGAAGAUGCGUUCAUGCCUUGGGAGGAUACAGAAUGUCUUCGAACAAUGCCUGGAUCUUCCUAGAAGUCGUUACUUUUUCCCAUUCAUCAAUACCCCCGUGUGCCAUAAAACAAGUGAUAGAAGAAGAAAAUCAAAGGUUACUAUUUCAAUUACUAGUGGAGGACAAUUUUGCUGUGCAUUAUCUUUUUGGGAUAAGUGUUGAAGACAGACAGAGAGAAGAUCAUAUACAUACAUAGGAGAGAAGGUGAAAUUUUCAUUUACAUUCUUAAAACUUGGUUCUGCUACUCAUUGUUUCAAUAUGGUCAACAUUGUUACCUGAAUUUACUGGUUUACAUCUUCCAUUUGGCCAUUGUAAUUGAACCCAACUCUUGGUUUCCCCAUGCUGAAGUUAAGAACUUUUGCAUUCAUGUUGUAUUGGAUUUCUCCAGUAUAUAGAAGCUUUCUUAUGUAGUGCUCUAUGUCUGAACCGAUCAGGCGAAGCGUGUAUUCCGUCAAUGGAGCUCCCUGGUCCAGAGUGAAACAUUGGAGUUAGCAUCUCAAUUUGGUAAAAACAUUGAAUUUUUAGAAUUUACGCUUUAGUAGUACUCUAUCACUUCUUUUAUAACAUACAAUAAGGAAGUUCCUAUCAACGACUUUCUUUUAUUGCGAAUUUCUUACUAAAAUAAUGCGACAUUGCUUUUCCCAAAGAAGUAUCUUGUCUAAACUGUAACUCUUCUGGAGUCUUGCUAAAUCCGUAAUUGUUACAUAAUGCAGCAAAGUUUAGGUUAAGGCACAAGAAAUAGAGAGGAAGAAGAAGACGAUACAAAUCUGUGGCUCAACAAGAAGAUAGCCUAAGACAGUAUCGAGUGGAUAAGAUAUGUUUUUGAAAUAAUUUUCCAAAUACAGCGUAAAGUAUAGGAGUCAAUAUUUCAUUGUUAAGAAUAAAGAGUCAACUCUUGGAAAAGUAACGGUGUUUAUAGGAAAAAGUUUCAAAUUAGAAAAACGGCAAUAAAUGAAGAAAAUUUACCUCAUAGUAAACAUGUUCUUGAAAAUUGAGUUUUAAUUGUUUUGAUUAAAACUCUGAAAUAUUUAUCAUUAUUAACACGAGAAGUUUCAUUAAAUAUUCCCAAAAAUAACAAAGACGUGAAACAGAAAAAGUAUUAAAAUUGAGUUUAACUUGUAUACACUCAGAUCACUUAAAAAUAAAUACCGUAUAUGUUAAUUAUUCAUAAAAAGAGUGAUUAGUACGUAACCUACAAAAUAAAAUAAUUUACCUGCUAUAACAUGUUAAAAUACAGUAAUAAUGUAGAAGAAUUUACACUAUCACUAUGAGUAUAUAUAAGUAAGUCCAUUAAAAUUUGUAAAAAGGAUAUUCUCUUUUCAAAAAGGAGAAAGUACCUCAUAAUGAUCAACGAGUUCUUGGAAGUAAGAGUAGACCUUGGUGCAAGUAUCAUCAGUCCAAACAAAUUCAUCAGUAGGGUCAAGGAUAAGUGUAAGUUUAUCCAUUUGUGUUUGGUCAAAAGCAAAAGUUUCAGGAUCAAUAUAAGCUGCAUAUAUUCUAACAUGUCUAGUAGCAGAACUUAGCCACUGUCCUCCAUAUUCUCUGCUCAUGUUCUUGCUCUUCACAUUUAUCUGUGGUUCCACUGGCCUUGGCUGUUUCAUUGCUUGUUCUUCUUGUUUUUCUUCUUUCUUUUCUUCAUCUUUUUCUACUUUUACUUCUUCAACUUCUGUUUGCUGUGCUGAAACUGAUAAAAAGUUUCUUCUUUUGAGUUGUUUGUUUCCCUUUGUUGUCCAAUAACCUAACAUGCUGAAAUGAGUUGAAGCCAUGUAUGUUGAAGUUGCUGCCAUGGCUAAGGGCUUUUUUUUCUUUCUUUUGGGACCUUUUAUUAUUGUGCUUUGUUUUCUGUGAUUUUUAUAUAUGGCGUUUUCUUGAAUGUUGGUAUUAGGAAUUAGGAUAUUGAUAUGUUCUCAUUUUUGUGUGGAUAAGAAAUGCUUAUUUGCACGUUGGGUUUUUUUUCUUUUGGUUCUGUGGCUGUAUUUAAUAUGGAGAUAACAGGUGAAGUACAAGUUCCACUAUUUUGUACUUUCCUUGCAGCUUCAGAUUCUUUAUUUACGCUGUUUGAACUUCGAAGGUUUGGUUCGUGAGUAAUAUAAAAGCGUUUACGUUAAAACCAUGAAAAUUAAGUAUGGGAAUUUACUUGGGUUUCUUGAGAAUUGUAGUCUGUCUGAGACAAUUAUAUUCCUCUGCCGAUAUGCUGUUAUUAGUUGCUUUUUUCUUCUUUAUUUUGAGAUAACUUCUCCCGUAUCUACUCAAAAUUUCGUAGUUAUAUGAUUUGGAAUUCACACUUAUAGUUAAUAAUUUCACUUAUAUAGGCAACACCAAAAUCUAUGGACAAAUUGAAGUUAAAACCUAGACUCGGUGUUUGCUAAGAAUUUUAUACGUUUCUGGAAAACAUAGAUAUCGAGAACCAGCUUGAUAUCUAUGUGAUGAAAAAUAAACAAUAACACAUUUGGCAAAAUUAGCUAGCGUUCUUAAUGGGAGUAUUCUAUUGAGUUCAUCACCGCAUUAAAAAAAAAACAAUAUAUAUGUAUGCUUUAUUAUCAAUCUGUCAUCUUUUAGCAAGUAAAAAGGAGAUAGAAGCCAAGCUUUGUAAGCAUAAAUAUAAUCUCAGCUGAUUGAUUCAAAAGGUUCAUUGUUGCCUUGAUUUAAAAAAACAAAAAUUAAAUUGACUUGGAAAUUGCUAACAUUGAAAAGUAAAAGAACUGAAAGCAAAACCAUCCAAUGAGAGAUUUGCAUCAAAAUUUCAUUGCCUUUAAUUUUUUAUCACAACAGUUUCUCACAUUCUCUCGCACACAACACACUUGGCGAUACAAAAUAUUGCCUAAUCCUAAGACCUAUACCUAAGUAAUUAACUAAAAACCUAAAGUUUGAAAACAAAAAAAAUUGCUCUGCACUAGCAGAACAGUACAAUAAAUCUAAUUACAAAACUUCAUUUACAAACACUAA
rnacentral:lncRNA from 1 species